rnacentral:lncRNA from 1 species
AUCUCUCUUCCCUUGAAGUGGGGGUCAAGCCCCACACCACAGGUGGUACAACCAAGGGCUGGCUAAUUUGAUCAGAAAACAGGUCAUGUCUGGGGCAGAACCAAAGGGUAAGAGGGUUAUGCAAUUCUACUUUAUUUUAUUCAUUUUUAUUUUUGUCUUCUUUGCAGCUGCACCCACGGCAUAUGGAGGUUCCCAGGCUAAGGGUCCAAUCGGAGCUACAGUGGCCGGCCUACACCACAGCCACAGCAAUGCAGGAUCCGAGCCGCAUCUGCGACCUACACCACAGCUCAUGGCAAAGCCAGAUCCUUAACCCACUGAGCAAGUCCAGGGAUCAAACUCACAACCUCAUGGUUCCUAGUCGGAUUCACUGAAUAAAUUCCUUGCCAAGCCUUAGUUUUCUCAUCAGGGGAAAGAGGCAGUUCUAUGAUAGCUGGACACAUACUAUCAAAAUAACCCAGUUUUUUUUUUUUUUUAAAUGCUUAUCUAUCCACUUUCUCUUGAGAUCAAUAAUACUAUCUACCAAUGAGAAUUUUUGUUAUUAGAACUUGCUACUAGCUAUUUCUUUGUACAAUAUGAAAUUAAAAUGCUCUGGAGUGGCGUCUCCGUUUCAAGAUUUUCAUUCUUGACACCAAGAAAUUCUGUUCUUAGAAGGAUAUUGGAUUGACCUAGAAAUAAGGGUAUUGAACUAAAGUCAUUUGUUUUCCAAAGGCAUAUCUUUUCUCACCUGCUGCUGUACCUGCCAUCAGCCCAGUGCUAUGCCAGGCCCUGGAGCAGGUAAGGUCAAAAUCUCUGUCUUAAGGAAUUUAAGGUCUGUCUUGUAGUAGAUACAAACUACAAGAGGAUAAUAAGGUAAUUCAUGUUAAGGAGAAGUCACCAUACAGUUAACUAUCCAUCCAUUCAUCCAUCCUUCCAUUCCUUCUUCAUUCAACCAGCCAUUCCUCCUUCCAUCCAUCCAUGCCUACUUCCAUUCGACCAUCCUUCCAUUCCUCCAUCCUUCCAUCCAUCACGCUUCCAUUCCUGCAUCCAUCCAUCCAUCCCUACACCAUCCAUCCAUCCACCAACCUACCUGCUCACUCACUUCUAGGAUGUCAGAACCUCAGUGCUGAAUUUCAUUGUGAUAUGAAGGCUCAUGUCUUGGUUAAAGAUCAAAGAGCUUGUCAAAGUCUAUAGAAUGAAUCAGAGGUCCAGUUACUCAUGACACCCCAUAUAAAUGCAACAUCAAAAGGACGGGAAGCCUUGCUAAGGCCAAAUACCCAGACUGAUGAAUCAGAGAAAAAUGGGUUCUACCAGUGAUGUUCAGCCUACUGUAGAAUCAUCUCAGG